GGUCAAGCGAAUAAGCGCACACGGUGGAUGCCUUGGCGGUCAGAGGCGAUGAAGGACGUGGCAGCCUGCGAAAAGUAUCGGGGAGCUGGCAACAAGCUUUGAUCCGGUAAUGUCCGAAUGGGGAAACCCACCCGCUUGCGGGUAUCCUGCAGUGAAUACAUAGCUGCUGGAAGCGAACCUGGUGAACUGAAAUAUCUAAGUAACCAGAGGAAAAGAAAUCAACCGAGAUUCCGUAAGUAGCGACGAGCGAACGCGGACUAGCCCUUAAGCUGGAUUGGUUCUAGGAAAACGCUCUGGAAAGAGCGGCCAUAGAAGGUGAUAGCCCUGUAUCUGAAAGGGCCAUUCCAGUGAAGACGAGUAGGGCGGGGCACGUGAAACCCUGUCUGAACAUGGGGGGACCAUCCUCCAAGGCUAAAUACUACUGACCGACCGAUAGUGAACCAGUACCGUGAGGGAAAGGCGAAAAGAACCCCGGAGAGGGGAGUGAAAUAGAACCUGAAACCGUGUGCGUACAAGCAGUAGGAGCUCCGCAAGGAGUGACUGCGUACCUUUUGUAUAAUGGGUCAGCGACUUACUGUUCGUGGCAAGCUUAACCGUAUAGGGGAGGCGAAGGGAAACCGAGUCUGAUAAGGGCGCAUAGUCGCGGGCAGUAGACCCGAAACCGGGUGAUCUAGUCAUGCCCAGGGUGAAGGUGCGGUAACACGCACUGGAGGCCCGAACCCACUCCCGUUGCAAAGGUAGGGGAUGAGGUGUGAUUAGGAGUGAAAAGCUAAUCGAACCCGGAGAUAGCUGGUUCUCCUCGAAAGCUAUUUAGGUAGCGCCUCAUAUGUAUCCUCUCGGGGGUAGAGCACUGUUAUGGCUAGGGGGUCAUCGCGACUUACCAAACCAUUGCAAACUCCGAAUACCGAGACGGACUGUAUGGGAGACACACGGCGGGUGCUAACGUCCGUCGUGAAAAGGGAAACAACCCAGACCCACAGCUAAGGUCCCAAAUUUUGUGCUAAGUGGAAAACCAUGUGGAAAGGCACAGACAGCCAGGAGGUUGGCUUAGAAGCAGCCACCCUUUAAAGAAAGCGUAAUAGCUCACUGGUCGAGUCGGUCUGCGGGGAAGAUUUAACGGGGCUAAGCACAGAACCGAAGCUUGGGGUGCAUAACUUUGUUAUGCGCGGUAGAGGAGCGUUCCGUAAGCCGUUGAAGGUGGAUUGAGAAGUCUGCUGGAGGUAUCGGAAGUGCGAAUGCUGACAUGAGUAACGAUAAUGCGGGUGAAAAACCCGCACGCCGAAAGCCCAAGGUUUCCUUGCGCAACGUUAAUCGGCGCAGGGUGAGUCGGCCCCUAAGGCGAGGACGAAAGUCGUAGUCGAUGGGAAGCAGGUUAAUAUUCCUGCACCUCGCGUAAGUGCGAUGGAGGGACGGAGAAGGUUAGGUGUACCAGGCGUUGGUUGUCCUGGGGAAAGGCGGUAGGUUUGGAUCUUUGGCAAAUCCGGGAUCCUUCAAGACCGAGCACCGAGACGAGCCUUUAAGGCGAAGUCACUGAUACCACGCUUCCAGGAAAAGCUCCUAAGCUUCAGCUUACGCAGACCGUACCGUAAACCGACACAGGUGGGUAGGAUGAGAAUUCUCAGGCGCUUGAGAGAACUCGGGUGAAGGAACUAGGCAACAUGGCACCGUAACUUCGGGAGAAGGUGCACCCUUUUUGGUGGCUCGUGCGAGCUAUAGCUGAAGAGGGUCGCAGUAACCAGGCCGCUGCGACUGUUUAUCAAAAACACAGCACUCUGCAAACACGAAAGUGGACGUAUAGGGUGUGACGCCUGCCCGGUGCUGGAAGGUUAAUUGAUGGGGUCAGCCGCAAGGCGAAGCUCUUGAUCGAAGCCCCAGUAAACGGCGGCCGUAACUAUAACGGUCCUAAGGUAGCGAAAUUCCUUGUCGGGUAAGUUCCGACCUGCACGAAUGGCGUAACGACAGCGGCGCUGUCUCCACCCGAGACUCAGUGAAAUUGAAAUCGCUGUGAAGAUGCAGCGUUCCCGUGGCAAGACGGAAAGACCCCGUGAACCUUUACUAUAGCUUUACACUGAACGUUGAGUUCGUCUGUGUAGGAUAGGUGGGAGGCUAUG
rnacentral:rRNA from 1 species